rnacentral:lncRNA from 1 species
UUUACACGAUUGUGCAUAUCUAUUUUUCCCAUAUAUAUAUAUGGUUAAGAUCUAGUCCGGGCGCCCGGACAUUACUUAAAAUCUGAACUUCUGUUAUGAGCCGUGGAUUAUAUCCAACGGUUGGGAAAUGAAAGGAAAAUGUUAAUCUGAUCUCAAGCCAAAUCGCGUCUUUCUCUCUCUCUUAAGCCGAAACCUCUCUCUCUCACGAAGCCGAAACCUCGCCUGAUCGAGUCUCUGGCCCAAAGCUUCCGGCCGAACGAAGCCGGAAACUCGAUGAACUCGCCGUCUCUCUCUGUCUCCCAAGGUAUUUUCUACUUCCCCCAAUAUUCAUCUAGUACUGCUUGGUUCUCUAUAACCCACCGAAUCCACCGAGUCCAAUCUCCUAUAUGCGAAGUAUUCCUCCACAUGAACCACCUACCAAAUAAUCCAUACCCCAACAAGAAGUAUAAAUCGUACUGUCUUUCCGGUAGCUUUAAAAAUAAAGGUUCCUCAUACUUCUAAUUUUUUUUUUCUCUGUUUGAACCUUUUGAAUUCAAAUUGAAUGUUUAAAAAGUUUUGCACUGUUUGGUGGUUUAGGCACAAGGAGAUAGGUUGGGCUAAGGAGUAAUAAGGAGGAUAUAAUGGGUUCAUGAUAUAAAUCAAUGGUGGUGAAACUGAUAGCCUAAAAUUAUGCCUACCAACUGUUUGAUAAAAGUUCUAAAAGAACUGUUUUGAUUGAAUUUAUAUAUGUAUAUUUGAAUUUAUACUACUAUUAAUAUAAACCAAUGGUGGCAUAUAGUGAUAUCCAAGGAGUGCUGGGGUUUUGGGUUAAGUAGUGUGAUGCAGAAUAAAGGGGCUACAUGACAUAUUUAAUGUAGAGGAUUCCUUGCAACUUUUUAGAGCAUCGUAAGGGCUGUGACAGUAGAGGAUUCCUUGCAACUUCUUAGGUUUUUUCCUUCUAAUUAAGUGCAUUUGGUGUUUUGACAGUUGAGCAGUAGCAAUUAAUAUAUCAGACAUAUAACAAUUGAGCAGUGUUGUUGUAAUUGAUUAUGUUAUUAUAUUUUACAAAAAAAAAUACCAUUUUUAUAUAACAAUAAAUGUAUAAUAUAACUCUUUUUGUGAAAUUGAUGACUAAAAUCUCAAUAUUGUUUUAUAUAAAAAAAUAUCAAUAUUGAAAUGAGGAAUUGGAAGUAAACCAAAGUAAUACUAUUGUGAUAAUUAUUUUAAAUAUGUAUGAGACAUCUAGGUGUGAGGCCUAGUCUUCUUCCCCUCUUUCAUGUGUUAUUGUCAUGAUAUGUGGAUUACCAACUGUGGAAUGUCUCUAAAACAUUGCAAUCUUAUGGUGGUUUUGGCAGAUAAGGUUCAACAAAGGAUAUAAUGUCUACUUCAAGCAACAUGAGCAUUCAAGUGAUUGUGUACUCUGCUACCCUAACUAACUGUAAUGACUGUAAUGACUAUAAGGAAAAUGUAAUGAUUAUGUACUCUGCUACCCUUUUGUAUUAAGAAAGCACUGGAUGAUUGUCUUGUUUAAAAUAUGGAUGUUAAGUAUAUUUUUUCACUGGUCCUGUGGAUUUACAAUCCCCCUCCCCCAAGCGGAUAAAUUAGUAAAAAAAAGGUUUAGGUAGACAUCCUUGAUGAUAAAGUCUUAUAGAUACUGCACAAUGGUUAUGGGAACACAUGGUGUGGUAUUAUAUGAGAUCUUAACCAGCAGAUUAUAGAAAUUUGGUAUGAUAAUGGACCCGAGACUUGAAAAUCAAUACUCUCGCACUGCAGCUCGAGAAAUUGCCAAGUGAACAUGUUGGUGGAAUUAGUAGAAGAGGGUUUAUGCUGAUGCAGAGAGCAAAACUACCUUAAAAAACUAUUUCAUCACAGGACCAGAUUUUGUGUUUUUUCAAAGGUUUU